rnacentral:rRNA from 1 species
UACGGAGGGUGCAAACGUUGCUCGGAAUCAUUGGGCGUAAAGGGCGCGUAGGCGGCUCAUGAAGGCUGUGGUGAAAGUCCGGGGCUCAACCUCGGAUCGGCCGUGGCGACUCGUGGGCUGGAGCACUGUAGAGGCGGGUGGAAUUCCGGGUGUAGCGGUGGAAUGCGUAGAGAUCCGGAAGAACACCAGUGGCGAAGGCGGCCCGCUGGGCAGUGGCUGACGCUGAGGCGCGACAGCGUGGGGAGCAACAGG